rnacentral:rRNA from 1 species
ACGCUCGACACCUACGGGAGGCAGCAGUCGGGAAUAUUGCGCAAUGGAGGAAACUCUGACGCAGUGACGCCGCGUGCAGGAAGAGGGUUUUCGGAUUGUAAACUGCUUUAGACAGGGAAGAACAAAUGACAGUACCUGUAGAAUAAGCUCCGGCUAACUACGUGUCAGCAGCCGCGGUAAUCUGAGCGGGCUGGCAAGGC